GGAAAUUAGAGCUGGAUAAGACCUACGUGAGAGAAGAACCCAUCAGAAGAAAUGAGCAAAUUUGCUUUUUUUCGCCUUUCUCCCAUAAGCCAGUCAUCCUUUAUGGUGGUCCAGUUCUAGUAAAAUCCAUGGGAGUAAAUGAUAUUGCCAAGUUGACAGGUGUAAGAGAAUAUGACGAGAGAAGAGAAUGGGACCUAAGACAGAACCUUGGAAGACACCCACCUUAAGGAUUUCAUCAUUCUCCCUGAAGAGCGGAGAGGAAUUCCUUUGGCCCCUACAUCUUCUCUCCAAGGGAGAGAAAACAUU